AAGUUGUACAUCACUUCGCAAUUUCAUUUAACAUUCGUUAUUUCAAGGAAAGAAGGAAUAGUUUUACACCCUCUUUUGCAAAAAAAUAUAAAUCGCCUCAUCCUUGACAAUUCUUUAUCAUUCACAAACAAACAGAACUUUUAAUUAUUUCUCAAAAAAAAUUGAAGGAUAUAGAAAUUCCUUUUUGCACAGAUCUAUUAUAGAUCUUGUUAUGCUACUCCUUCUCCUUUAUUUUUUUUUUUUAUUUCACAGAAUUAACAGAGUUAUGUCAUCAAACGAAGGAAAAAGAUCAGCACCAAAAUCCGUGGUUCAAAAUUGUGAUUACGUUCUGGACUACAUUGAUCUCUUAUAGGAGCAUGUUUAGUCAGCAUUUUCCAAGCAGAAUCAUUCCUUAUCACAAGGAGCAAAGGAGAAAACCAUGCAUCAGUAGAAAAAAGACUUUUCUUGUCAGAUUUGCAAGUGUUAGAUGCACAGACUUCUCAUGCAUUAUCAAUUUUUCUAAACUUGAAUUCACAGGAUUCACGAUUUCAUCAUCUCUUUAUGUUGUUAAUAUUGAUAGCUAAUAAUAUGGUCAAUUCAUCACAGAGUGAGAUAAAUUCACAAAGGCAGGUUCACAUGUAUAAUAAAGGGAAAGUCGAGACAUGUAAAAGCAGAAAGGUGAAGUUGACAGAGAGCUACUUACAAACCCCCUUCCAUUUUUUUUGAAUUCUUGACCCAGAAUACUGAAUUGGCAACGCGUUGAAAGGAAAAACUCCACAUAUGCACGGUCAUCUACUAUUGCUGCAACACCACCAUGGCCAGGACCAUCUUUUAAAGCUCUAGCAUAAUCUCCAGGCAGAUUAAGAGGAACAAGUCUAGAUUCAUCAAUGAGCAGUUCUUGAAUCAGAUAAUUAUGAGAAAAUGAACCCAACUGAUAACCGUUAGGUUCCUUUGUAUUUACGAAACUUCAAUUCCUGUAAUUGGUGAAGAAAGUUUCUGCACGGUAAGAAUUGAUGUGAGACUGGCAGUGUAGCUUGAAUUUACUGUCAAAAACACAAAAUAGCCAUAUAAGUAGGACAAUGCGGCCAAGGGUGCUGACAGUGUUUUCUCCUGUAUACAAAAUUGUUCUUUGUUAUAGAAGCUCAUUCAAGUGUAGCAUAGAAGCAA